AGUCGUAACAAGGUAUCCGUAGGUGAACCUGCGGAUGGAUCAUUACCAAAGGACUCUGUCCCAACGUAUUGUGAAUUGUAUUGAAUCACAGUCAGUCUGCUGCUCCUUUGAGUGCUCCCUUGUGGGGCGUUUGACUGAGCCAGGCUGGCUGUACCUGCUAAACGCCAUUAUUUUCAAACUGAAGUCUAUUUAGUAUUAACUAAAGAUAACUUUUAGCAACGGAUCUCUUGGCUCUC
rnacentral:misc_RNA from 1 species